CAAAAGUAUCAGAAAACAUUGGAUCUGAGGAUGAAUCUUCUAAAGACGAGAGUGAUAAAGACAGUGAAGAGCCUGCUAAUACUCCAAAGAAGGCUCCAGUGCACACCUCUGAAAAGCAAACUGCUACCAAAGAACCUAAGACGCCUAUUGGCUCCCAAAGUGAACUGAAACAGCAUUGAUGGAUCUUUCCAGAAGGCUGCUCGGGGUAACAACAUCUCAAUAUUUAUCUGGGGCUUUGAUAAAAAUAUUUCAGAGGAUGAGAUCUGGAGCUCUCUCGAACAACAUUUUAGUGAUUGUGGUGAGAUGACAAGGGUCUCUAUCCCGACUGAUCAUGAGCCUGGUGCAAUAAAAGGGUGAGUUCUGCUACAUGAAACACCAACAUAAGGUGUAACUAGGAUGGCUUGUACCUUACUACGAGAGAGACAGAAAGAGAGCAAGAGAGAUUUUGUUGUGCUUCCACUAUAAGGUGCACUUGCUAUCCUGAGAAUGGUUAAAUAUGAGCCACUCAAAUGAUCUUUUUCUCUUA